rnacentral:rRNA from 1 species
UGACCGCUGGCGGCGUGCCUACUACAUGCAAGUCGAGCGAACAGACGAGGAGCUUGCUCCUCUGACGUUAGCGGCGGACGGGUGAGUAACACGUGGAUAACCUACCUAUAAGACUGGGAUAACUUCGGGAAACCGGAGCUAAUACCGGAUAAUAUAUUGAACCGCAUGGUUCAAUAGUGAAAGACGGUUUUGCUGUCACUUAUAGAUGGAUCCGCGCCGCAUUAGCUAGUUGGUAAGGUAACGGCUUACCAAGGCGACGAUGCGUAGCCGACCUGAGAGGGUGAUCGGCCACACUGGAACUGAGACACGGUCCAGACUCCUACGGGAGGCAGCAGUAGGGAAUCUUCCGCAAUGGGCGAAAGCCUGACGGAGCAACGCCGCGUGAGUGAUGAAGGUCUUCGGAUCGUAAAACUCCGUUAUUAGGGAAGAACAAAUGUGUAAGUAACUAUGCACGUCUUGACGGUACCUAAUCAGAAAGCCACGGCUAACUACGUG